GUGCUCACUUUGGCAGCACACAUGCUAAAUUUGGAACGAUGCAGAGAAGAUGAGCAUGGCCACUGCCCAAGGAUGACUUGCAAAUUCAUGAAGCAUUCCAUGUUUAG
rnacentral:snRNA from 1 species